rnacentral:lncRNA from 1 species
GGCAGCUUUCCAGUUGCUUCGUUGGCAGGUUACGUAUGUCUUAGAUUUGUGAACAGUGGGUCAAUUAUUUUUCAUCGCACUAAGGAUUUCUUUUCAUAUAUUUUUCUCUUGAAACAACACGCACAAUAAAUCCAUUCAUGGGUUGCUCAUGCUCUGCACAUAUAGCAAUUUGCGGAAAUUGCACCUCGGACGUUGAUACAGGAGGUGAAAACGAGGAAAAAAAACGGCUGUUACCAAAACGAAGGGGUAGCAACUCGAACGAUGGGGCAAUGGACAACACUUCUCAGUCACAAGUACCAACACCAAUUCAAGAAUCAGAAACAAGCCAUGAAAAUACAGGUUUUAAGACUACACAAGAUGAUCCUGGUGAUGCACGGACCCCGGUCCAGGAAACGACCAUGAACAAUUAAAAUUGAAUCGACGGCUACUGGGGUCAUCAUGAAAUGAGUUUAGAUAUUCUUUUUCUUAUUCAUCGUCAUCAUCAUCAUAAAAACAAGGCGUCGUGGGAGUUCAACUGUUAUUCUUUCUGUGGAACCUUCACAACAAACUCUACUGGAUAAGGCAUUGUCCAAAGUAGAUAUCAUUAGGGCAAAUGGGACAGUACAUGUGUUUUGCAACAUUAAAAUAUAUUUAUUUCAUAAUUAAUCCAAAGAGGGAAAUAUACAACAUUUUUGUUUUAUAAUUGGACCAAUUAUAACAAUUAUUGAGAGUGGAAUUAGAUUAACGACAACCCUACCGAAUAGAGGAUUGAAAAAAGUCACCUGAGGAUUUAAUAUGUGUAUAGUACCGCGCGAAGGUGUAAGAUUAGUAUGUACAGAAGUUGACACGUCUUGUGUCGUAUGGUAGGGUCUGUGAAUAUGUGUGUAUAUGUAUGUAAGUAAAAAGCAAAUUGUAUUAUCCAUUGUUAAGUUUAAUUUAUGAGUGUAAUAAUAUAUUAUAAUAAAAAAAGAUUGCCCAUGGCAGAAACCAAUUGGCCAUAUAUGACACCCUUAGCAAAAUGAAAACUGCAGCAAUAUUGCAGCAACGAAUUUGCAGGACUUUGCUAGAAAAUGUAUUUUUGAUAAUUUUCAGUCAUAUUACAGCAAAUUUGCUGCAAAUUUGAAAGAAGGAAUUGCGGUUUACAGCAAUAUUGCAACAAAAUUUGAUAUUUUGCUGAGGACUUGAGUUAUUGAAGGUAGGGCUAGGUUAUCGGUUUAAAAACCUUAUGUUUACAAGCCUUGGGCUCUAUAAUUAAAGGGGCAGGGUGUAUGGAGAUGAUCAUUAUCAGUUUUAAUUAUUAUAUUUAGCUUAAUAUGUCAAAGCGCGCAGAUCUCCUGUGAUAUUUUAAAUCCUAUUUAAUAUGCUCAAUUGUAGGCCUACUUUUUCUUUUGUAUUUUCAUUGUUUACAAAAUGUUCAAAAUGUUCUACAAUUAUCAUUGUCAUAUAUUUUAUUUUCCAUUUACAUAUAUAUAAUGGUUACAAUAUUCCACGAUAGACAAUAGUUCAGCAUGAUACUACACGGAAAUAAAUAACAAAUAAAAUACAUAAGAAUAAAGCGGGUAUAGUAAUACAUGUAGCUACCUGUACAUCGAAAAUUACAAAGACGCAUGACUUUUUCUGGCUUACAGUAACGCUCUUCUGACAAUUAACUCUUACCACCCUGUAAUGCUAGACUUGAAUUUUUUUCCACUCCUACUACGUAGGACCAUGGUCAAAUAAUACGAAUUCGUAUUAUUAUUUUCUUUUACUAGCCUUUUUUGUUAUCGAUUCAAGUUGCAUUGUAAAAUCUACUAAGCAAUUUUGGA